rnacentral:rRNA from 1 species
UACGGAGGGUGCGAGCGUUAAUCGGAAUUACUGGGCGUAAAGGGCGCGCAGGCGGGUUUGUAAGUGAGAUGUGAAAGCCCCGGGCUUAACCUGGGAAUUGCAUUUGAUACUGGGAGUCUAGAGUACUUUAGGGGGGGGUGGAAUUCCACGUGUAGCGGUGAAAUGCGUAGAUAUGUGAAGGAAUACCAAAGGCGAAGGCAGCCCCUUGGGCAUGUACUGACGCUCAGGUGCGAAAGCGUGGGGAGCAAACAGG